UACGUAGGGGCCGAGCGUUGUCCGGAGUUACUGGGCGUAAAGCGCGCGCAGGCGGCGUACCGCGCCCGGCGUGAAAGCCCCCGGCUCAACCGGGGAGGGUCGUCGGGGACGGGUGCGCUUGAGGACGGCAGGGGCAGGUGGAAUUCCCGGUGUAGUGGUGAAAUGCGUAGAGAUCGGGAGGAACACCCGUGGCGAAGGCGGCCUGCUGGGCCGAUCCUGACGCUGAGGCGCGAAGGCGUGGGGAGCUAACGGG
rnacentral:rRNA from 1 species